GGUCUGGUGGCCCAAUUGGCAGGGCGUCUGACUUCGAUUGAUUUUCACACAAAAAAAUUGAAUUUUCGGGAAUUUAUCAGAAGAUUGCGGGUUCGAGUCCUGUCCGGAUCG
rnacentral:tRNA from 1 species